rfam:Dipodomys ordii contig_22972, whole genome shotgun sequence.
GGGAAGGUGGCUCAGUGGUAGAGCGCUUGCCUUGCAUGCAUGAGGCCCUAUUCCU